rnacentral:lncRNA from 1 species
CGGUUACUAAUGCGUAGCCCACCUAAGGAUGACUACAUAAUGUCCUCAUUCGAUAGUUUCUACACCAUCUCUGUUCUGACAAAUUUCCGUUAUGACUAAAUUGCCCCCACAUGUCCACCCUGCACUUUUCUCAUUCUCCAGCUAAUGGAGAAUUACAGUUCAUUGAAACAAAGUUUUUAGUGAUGAAGCCUGGAGUAUUUCACACUUUCACCCGCUUAAAUCCCUUCGAUGAGGUAAAGUAUGAAACGGGCACACGAAAUAUAUAUUUAUUGCAAGUUUAUCUUAUCCUUUAGAUCUCGUAAAAUUCUUUUUAAGGUAAGUUUGUAUUUUUUUUUUAUUUUUUUUUUUGUAUUAAUAAACACUCUUUAUUCGUUGUGGUUAAUUUAAAAAAGGAAAAACAUAGGCUAAGAGUUGGUGAACUCAAUUGUUAUUGCAAGAAGUGCAAAGAAAGCAAAGGGUAUUUCAGUAAGUGCAGCAUCGAAUUAAAUUCCCUUGAUCUACUGUUCCAUUUUAUGUUUGUAUAAUAAUGCAAGUGUAGAAAUAUUUCAAGUAUGUUAAGGUCAAAUAAUUGAAGAUCCCAAAGUCUUGUGAUGCAAAAGAGAAGAAGAACCAAAUAAAAUGUCAAGAUUUGAGGAUGGAUUAUGUGUAUUGAUACAUGUAAUGUUGAGGAAGAGCAUCAACAUAUAUAACGAGUUUUCGUUCGUGCUCGUGGACUUGGUUUCUGUACUAAACUCAAUGUUUCAAUUUUCGGGCAUGUUUUUGCAGAGAUCGAAUACAGUUCCGAGCCGGUACUCACCUAUGUCUUCGGUGUUUGGUCGCCAUGACCGGUAACUCUUGUUGCUAAACAUGGUCAGAAAAAAAGUGGUUCAAACACCAAAUUUAUCAGUAAGAAGAAAAAUUUGUUUCUUGUUGUGUUUCCAUGACAUGGUGAAUGCUGUAAAUCAAGAUCUAUAGAUGGUAUACAGAAUAUAUCAUGAUUGGAUGAAUAAUUUUGUUAAUUUUGUUUCACUGUUAAGAUAUUCUGUUCCUUCGUGUAUGAAGAUUACUUCUUUGGCAAAUUAAUUUGUAUUGAUUAAUCAGAAGAUAAAUAGUAUUUUAGCUAUUACUUGAGUCUUGAAAAAAAAAAGCUUUGAAUUUGUGUGUGUGGAAUUCUUGUAGACAUCUAAGUGUAUUAGACCUAGAAGUCCGCGCAUUAGAUGUAGAAUUGGCUUAUGCACAUUAAUAAAUUUUUUUACUAGUAUCAUAAAUAAGAGUUUAUUAGAUUUUCAUUCUAACAAAAAGAAAUCAACUUACUCCACCAUUUAUGCUAAGCUUAAAAAGUGCUUAAGCUUAAACAUGCUAUUAUGUCUAGCUAUUAUAGACAUUGCUUCUUGGCUUAUGACACAAGCAUGUCUUUACUGCUGAAGUAAGAUGAUCAAAAGCAGCUUAUAAGUAAGCAUGCCCUCAUAAGUGGUUUGGUCUAUACCCUCUAAAUACCCAACUAAAAUUGAGGUUUAAGUAAGUGUCCACUAGAACUUUUACCCGAAAGUAGGGUUUGUUUGUACAACCCCUACCUAAUUGCCGCAAAUUUCAACUCUAAAGAAGAUCAGGAAUUUAUGUAAUGAUUAGGAAAAUAGGAAUAGAAUAAUUUUAUUGUACCUAAUAGAGCAAGGGAAGGAGAACAUGUAAGUGAGUCUGCUUAAAUGAUAUAUAAGGCUUAGAUAAUUAAGAUGGAAGAAGUGC